CGUUUGACCCUAUUUUGUUGGUUUCUAGGAUCGACGUAAUGAUUAAUAGGGAUAGUUGGGGGCAUUAGUAUUCAAUUGUCAGAGGUGAAAUUCUUGGAUUUAUUGAAGACUAACUACUGCGAAAGCAUUUGCCAAGGAUGUUUUCAUUAAUCAAGAACGAAAGUUAGGGGAUCGAAGACGAUCAGAUACCGUCGUAGUCUUAACCAUAAACUAUGCCGACUAGGGAUCGGAUGAUGUUAAUUUUAUAAUGACUCAUUCGGCGCCUUACGGGAAACCAAAGUGUUUGGGUUCCGGGGGGAGUAUGGUCGCAAGGCUGAAACUUAAAGGAAUUGACGGAAGGGCACCACCAGGGGUGGAGCCUGCGGCUUAAUUUGACUCAACACGG
rnacentral:rRNA from 1 species